rnacentral:rRNA from 1 species
GCAAGUCGAACGGGAAGGCGAACUUCGGUUCGCUGGAGAGUGGCGCACGGGUGAGUAACACGUAGCUCAUCUGCCCCGAAGAGCGGGAUAACGCACCGAAAGGUGUGCUAAUACCGCAUAAGCUCCCGGGUUGUAGAAACCUGAGAGAAAAGCUCCGGCGCUUCGGGAUGAGGCUGCGGCCCAUCAGCUAGUUGGUAGGGUAACGGCCUACCAAGGCGACGACGGGUAGGGGGCCUGAGAGGGUGACCCCCCACACUGGGACUGAGACACGGCCCAGACUCCUACGGGAGGCAGCAGUGAGGAAUAUUGCUCAAUGGACGCAAGUCUGAAGCAGCGACGCCGCGUGGGUGACGAAGGUCUUCGGAUCGUAAAGCCCUUUUCUUAGUGACGAGCAAGGACGGUAGCUAAGGAAUAAGUGUCGGCUAACUACGUGCCAGCAGCCGCGGUAAAACGUAGGACGCAAGCGUUAUCCGGAAUUACUGGGCGUAAAGCGCGCGCAGGCGGGUCAGCAAGUCAUGCGUGAAAGCUCCCGGCUAAACUGGGAGAGGUCGGAUGAGACUGUUGAUCUGGAGGAGGUCAGAGGAGUGUGGAAUUCCGCGUGUAGUGGUGAAAUGCGUAGAUAUGCGGAGGAACACCAGUGGCGAAGGCGGCACUCUGGGGCCUAACUGACGCUGAGGCGCGAAAGCAUGGGUAGCGAACGGGAUUAGAAACCCCGGUAGUCCAUGCCGUAAACGAUGUGUACUAGACGUUCGAGCGACUACGGUCGUUUGAGUGUCGAAGCCAACGCGCUAAGUACACCGCCUGGGGAGUACGGUCGCAAGGCUAAAACUCAAAGGAAUUGACGGGGGCCCGCACAAGCAGCGGAGCGUGUGGUUUAAUUCGAGGCUACGCGAAGAACCUUACCUGGGUUUGACAUGGCAGUGAAUGAAGCCGAAAGGUGGAAGUCCUUCGGGCGCUGUCACAGGUGCUGCAUGGCUGUCGUCAGCUCGUGUCGUGAGAUGUUCGGUUAAGUCCGAAAACGAGCGCAACCCCUAGGUUUAGUUACAAGUGUCUAAACCGACUGCCUGCGGCAAGCAGGAGGAAGGUGGGGAUGACGUCAAGUCAGCAUGGCCUUUAUAUCCAGGGCUACACGCACGCUACAAUGGCGCGUACAGUGGGCAGCGAACCCGCGAGGGGGAGCCAAUCCUGCAAAGCGCGUCGUAGUUCGGAUUGCAGGCUGCAACUCGCCUGCAUGAAGUCGGAGUUGCUAGUAACCGCAGGUCAGCACACUGCGGUGAAUACGUUCCCGGGCCUUGUACACACCGCCCGUCACGUCAUGGGAGCUGGUCACGCCUGAAGUCGGGAAGCUAACCGCAAGGAGGC